rnacentral:rRNA from 1 species
AGAUUGAACGCUGGCGGCAUGCCUUACACAUGCAAGUCGAACGGUAGAGUAGCAAUACUUGAGAGUGGCGAACGGGUGAGUAAUAUAUCGGAACGUGCCCAGUCGUGGGGGAUAACGUAGAGAAAUUUACGCUAAUACCGCAUACGAUCUAAGGAUGAAAGCGGGGGACCGUAAGGCCUCGCGCGAUUGGAGCGGCUGAUAUCAGAUUAGGUUGUUGGUGAGGUAAAGCUCACCAAGCCGACGAUCUGUAGCUGGUUUGAGAGAACGACCAGCCACACUGGGACUGAGACACGGCCCAGACCUCCUACGGGAGCAGCAGGU